rnacentral:rRNA from 1 species
UACGGAGGAUCCAAGCGUUAUCCGGAUUUAUUGGGUUUAAAGGGUGCGCAGGCGGUCCUGCAAGUCUGGAGUGAAACGUAUGAGCUCAACUCAUGCAUGGCUCUGGAAACUGGAGGACUGGAGAGCAGGAGAGGGCGGUGGAACUCCAUGUGUAGCGGUAAAAUGCGUAGAUAUAUGGAAGAACACCAGUGGCGAAGGCGGCCUGCUGGACAAUAACUGACGCUGAGGCGCGAAAGCGUGGGGAGCAAACAGG